CAGUCGAACGGCAGCGGGGGCUUCGGCCUGCCGGCGAGUGGCGAACGGGUGAGUAAUGCAUCGGAACGUGCCCAUGUCGUGGGGGAUAACGUAGCGAAAGCUACGCUAAUACCGCAUACGCCCUGAGGGGGAAAGCGGGGGAUUCUUCGGAACCUCGCGCGAUUGGAGCGGCCGAUGUCGGAUUAGCUAGUAGGUGAGGUAAAGGCUCACCUAGGCGACGAUCCGUAGCGGGUCUGAGAGGAUGAUCCGCCACACUGGGACUGAGACACGGCCCAGACUCCUACGGGAGGCAGCAGUGGGGAAUUUUGGACAAUGGGCGCAAGCCUGAUCCAGCCAUGCCGCGUGAGUGAAGAAGGCCUUCGGGUUGUAAAGCUCUUUCGGCCGGGAAGAAAUCGUGGUCUCUAACAUAGGCCAUGGAUGACGGUACCGGACUAAGAAGCACCGGCUAACU
rnacentral:rRNA from 1 species